rnacentral:rRNA from 1 species
AUGCAAGUCAACCGUGAUAGAGCGGAGUGCCAUGCCAAGAUUAUGAGAGAUUAUUUCAACCCUAAUCAAAUCUAUCCGGAGAAGUAUUUUCGCCGCCAAUUUCAGAUGCACACAAGUCUCUUUCUCACCAUUGCAAAAGCCGUGAAGAAGCAUGAUGAUUGGUUCAAGCUCCAGAGGAAUGCAUGUGGAGAGAUAAGGGGACAGCUUCAGGCGGCGCCUAGAGGAGACCAUUGGCGUCAAGCGACGGCAUGGGAGACUCAACUAACAAGGCAGCCUCUUACCGUGAGGUUUCCCCUGUCGCCCUCUCCAAUCUGA